AGCGAACGCUGGCGGCAGGCCUAAUACAUGCAAGUCGAGCGCACUUUCGGGUGAGCGGCGGACGGGUGAGUAACGCGUGGGAACGUGCCCUUUGGUACGGGAUAACUGAGGGAAACUUCAGCUAAUACCGUAUGUGCCCUACGGGGGAAAGAUUUAUCGCCAUUGGAGCGGCCCGCGUUGGAUUAGGUAGUUGGUGAGGUAAAGGCUCACCAAGCCUACGAUCCAUAGCUGGUCUGAGAGGAUGAUCAGCCACACUGGGACUGAGACACGGCCCAGACUCCUACGGGAGGCAGCAGUAGGGAAUCUUGCGCAAUGGGCGAAAGCCUGACGCAGCCAUGCCGCGUGAAUGAUGAAGGUCUUAGGAUUGUAAAAUUCUUUCACCGGGGAAGAUAAUGACGGUACCCGGAGAAGAAGCCCCGGCUAACUUCGUGCCAGCAGCCGCGGUAAUAC
rnacentral:rRNA from 1 species